AUUAUUAUUAUUUUUUUUUAAUAGUGUUUUCAGACGUUCAGUUUCUUUUAGGAGGAUAUGUUCUUUGCCUUUUUAAUUGCUCUUAUAUUGCAAAGUUGGGUGAGAACAAGUCCUAUGGCUUAGGUCACACUCAGCUGGAUCUUAUUUACUAAUGCUCCUGGCAAACAAAUUAGAGAGUGCCCCCUUACUGAAUGAAUUAAUGAGGAUUCCCAGUUCCCUAUACAUUUAUUGAGCUAAUGGCCAUGUUUUCUUUGGGUUUCUUCAUGUGGGCAAGGCUCCCAAAAGCGAUACUACUGAUCUGAAUUCUUCUGUGUGCUAUUGAAAUUAUGCUUUGUCCACCUCACAUGCCAUUUUUUUCAGCUGCUUAGCAACAGUGACAAUAAUCCAUCAGACAGUAGAUGCCUCCGAAGGGUAUUGAAAGCUCCAAAGUUCAUGCUUGGUGGCCGUAUCAGACACACUUUAGUACCUGCUGGUGUUUCCAGUCACAAUGCCCUUCAGAAAUAAAUAAGAGGUGAUCUCUGUGUUUCAAAAAGUUGAACCUGUAGUGCACCUUGUGUAACUUCCAGCAAUGUGUUUUUGACUUCAGCAUCUCAGCACAGUGCUGUUCCUUUUUUUUUAGUCUCUAAAAUCAGACACUUUCUUACCUGUCUCCCUCUUGCUCACAUGGUUUUAAUUUCUCUAUUCCCAUUUAAAAAUAUUAAUUUUACUAGACUGCUUCUAAAAUUGUGUGUCCAAUAGUAAGCACUCUUUUUCCUGAAUAGCUUAAAACAAACAUAUAUAGAUACGCACACACAUGGUGUGAACGUGAGUACAUAUUAACAUAAACUUUUGUUUUAUCCAAAUGAAACUCGAGCAUUUUCGAUUUGCAGUUUCAUUAGUUAAAAAUGCAUUUACUAAGAUAGUGUUAGGAUUUUACAUUUCUGGGUGAGUGAACCUGAGAGUACCGGAAAACCUGGCAUGGAUCUUUAGAUAAAAGGAUAAGACAAAACACAAGAGAGUAACUUAUUUCCUUUAAAACUAGAAGGGAUGAAUUAAUAUCCUAACAUGAUUAUGAGGAUUGUGACAUCUACUUAACCUGCUUUUAGAAAUGAUGUCUGCUUACAGCUUGGGAUUGUCAGAGGCUUAUUUUCCACCCAAGGUCCUCCCUUUGUGCUCCUUCAUCUUUCCCAGAGAAUGGUGGGAGAAGAAAUUUGCAUUUGUAAAUGUGGAGCAGCUCUCACAAGCAUCCACAAUCACUCCAGCCGAUUUCCUUGGUCAGAGGCUGAGCCCCAUCCCUUGCUCUCUUUCACAGCAAAGCAGGAGCUUUAAGCACAUCUAAAAGGAAACCCCCUAGCUGCAAGGGUCAGUCGUACCUGAGCCCUUACCCAGAUCCCCCUCCUAGGAAAUGUGCCCCAGGUGCUUUCUGCUGGACCACAGUGCUGUUCACACUCACAGCAGGGAAGCAACCCCUUGGGUUGGGUUCUAUUUCAAUGAAGUAGGGACGGCUGGUUGUUCCCAUACAUUGUCAUAUGGUCUGUACCCCUGGUAUGCAUAUAUGCAAACAGAGAUCACCUCUCUGGUCCUCCUUUGGUGCAAGUGCCCCACUGUGUCUCCAGCCUCUGUUCAACCAUGGGUUUGCAUCCUAGAAGCAGGAGAAGAGAGUACACCAAGGGGUUCUGCUGCUGUGUCUCUCACAGAAAAAGAAGAAUAAGACAAACCAGACAGCAGUAAUUGCAAAAUAGCCCUGAUCUGAAAUCAGGCACACUGCCAGACAGCUCUUAUGCAAAGAAAAAAAAAAUAGCUGGAGAUUUAGCUCUCCUACAUAAAGAGCUUCAUUUCAAAGCCAGAGCCCUGUGCUGACAGGCACACAUGCAUACACAUACUGUUCUUCUGCAGCAGUCUUUAGAAAUCAAAUGCAUGCCACUCAUGCGGUGUUAGCAUCGUCUUUGCCACGGUCUCUGGCAGCACCACCAAAUAGGGCAAGCUUGGAAUUUGUCACUGUGGGAGAUCUGUUUGGUUUGGGUUACUAAUCCAUCUUUCCAGGUUCUGUCUUCCCAUGCAGGAGGGAAGGGAAUGUUAUCAGAAGCUGGUGCCUGCUGGAGCACAGGGUGCCCUCUGGCCAGCAGGACCUCAGCUCCACCAAACAUCCCCACUCCCUCAGAACAGAAAACUCAAUGUUCUCUAUUCUUAUGGCUUGGAACAAGCAAAUAUUUCAUCACAAGUUUCUAAACUGAUCUGUCUUGCACAACAUAGCUAUGCAUUCAGGCAGUUCACUCUAUCACUUUAUAAGAUUUUGCAUCUGCUUCUGUUAAGGCACUGGAGUUGCUAGUGUGUUUUCUUGACUUGUUUUAUUUUUAAACAAAUUGUUUCGGUGUCUGGCUGUCAACAGCUGCACUCUUCCUUUUGUGCAUUUUAUAUCCACUCCUUUGUGCAGCGUGUUCUGAUAACUGCAGCUCAGCUUCAAACUUGGACCCACAGAAAUCCUUUGACAGGCUGUCAAUUAGGCUUGCAGUUCACCCACAAUUUCAGGAUUUUUCCCCAGACUCGUGGAAUUCUUUCUUGAAUAACAAAUAAUACAACUUAAGCACUCACAAAAGUGUGGCAAAUGUUAGAGGAUUUUCGAUAGGGUUUUCUCAGUGUGAGCAAGAGCUCUCCAGCCUCAGCCCGAUGUGGGCUGGUACCCUCGAGUGACAUGUUUGACUCUUUGGAUAUAGCUGGUAUCACCCACUCCAUCACUCGCUCUGGCAGCAGCAGAGCCUGCCAGCUCCGGGUGGUGCUCCAGAUAACCUUGUUAACAUCUAACCUCAGCCAGUGUCAGGCUCGGUAUUAUCAGUAGCUCAAAGUAGGGAACAUAAACAAUGAGGUGGAACUGGGUUAAAAAUCACCAGACAAUGACUGAAAUGCAGGGUUCAGUAUUGGAUCACUUUGGUUCUUGACACAGGGUGAAACCCUGAACAACAAGUUUAUCGUGGAUUCCAUCCCCUUUGGAGUAAAAUAAUGAAAGACCAAAGAAAAUACAGAACAAAAGUAUGGAACUUUUAAAAAAGGCAUUCUUGUACGUUUAUUUUUAUAAUUCCAAAUUAGAAGCAUUUUCUAUGAAAUGUUUCAAUAUUUUUAAAAAAUAACAGUGUCAGUGUCCUAUGAACAAACCAUUGCCUAAUAUACCCCUGUGGCAAGAUCUAUUGAAACAAGCCUACUGCAGAUUUCCUGAUGUUAAUGUUCGUAGAUAGUUUCCUGAUUUCUUUCUUUCUGUGGUUCAUCAACUUAUUUUCUUAUGCUUGAAUUUGUUAUUUCUAGUGAUUUGUUUGUUUGUUUUUCUCUCUAAGUUGUACAAAUAAUGACUUGCAACUUGUGUUGUAUAUUGCCACAAACCUGUUCUGGCUGGCAUCUAUUAACAGCAAUGUGCAGUGACUCAGGUAUUAAAUGUAUGAGGAUGUUUGUAUGCUCUGUCUUCUGUUAGUGCAGUGUUUAAAAACACUCAAGACAGUAAUUAAGUAAUUAGAUAUAUAUUGAUAUUUGUUUGGUUCAGUCUUCCUGAAAAAAUACAUGAGCAGUAUUCGUUUGGGAAAAAACUCAGGGAUCUAAAUAUCUGAGGUGGAAAAGUUGAAGUUUGCAUGCCUGAAAUGCUGAAGUUCUCUCAUGUUGAUAUGUGUGACAGUGUUACUGCUGACAAUAACAGCAGUUGUUCAUCAGCCGCCAGCACUGUUACAACACUGAGCAGUAAGGCAUAAGCAAACCACCAGUAACAUAUAUACUGUAUUUACUAAUUUUAAGUCCCAGGAAGGACAUAGGCACCUCAAUUUUAAGAGUUGGAUUUGGUAAAGUAUGAUUUUGAGACUGGAAAACAACAAAGGCAUAUGUUGUCCUAUAGAGGUGGGAUUCCAUGUUUGUCACGACUAUGCAGGUGACAAAGUGUGCCCUGUCCCCAACGGGUGCCGUGUCAGGAAGGCUGCAAUGUUGCAUGUCUCUGGGGCAGCGAGGGUUAAGCCGUGUAAAUGCCACUCUGAACAAAGGCUGGAUUCAUGUGUUUUCUUCCUUGAAGGGAGCAGGAGAAAGAAACGUAAGUAAAAUAUAUCAAAUGUUAUUGUGAAACAAGCCUGUUGCUGUUUUCUGAAAAACAAGGAUGUGAGGACUCAUUUUAGAGGCGUGCUGAAGCAGCAGGGGAAUGGGAGGGUGACUGCAGCCGCUCUCCCUCCGGGGGCUGUCAUUGCCCUGCCAAUGCCAAGGACUAAAAUCGGCCAGCUUCUUAGAAGAGGACGUGGUGCUGACCAUGUGCCACAAAAAAUGUCUGCUGUACAAAAAACCACAAGCUAUUUCCCACUCCAAAGCAUAAUCUUUAAUAGUAGCUGUUCUUGAAGUAAUUGGAAAAGUUAUUCUGAUUCCACACCCUACCCCCCCCUUUUUUUUUCUGGAAAAAAUAUCUCCAGUUGCAGCUUAUGCUUUUGAAGAGCAGUUUGAAAAUCAGUCCAGCUGAUCUAGACAAACUCAAAAUCCAUUAGAAUAAAACUUCUUCCUUGACUACUCAGCUGGGAUCAGAAUAACACAGUAUAUUACUGAGUGCUGAUUAGUGAAAAAUCGAAUCAAUUCAUUUGUUCUCAUUUAUUGCACUUGGACAUAUUACUGAUGACUUCUACUGAAAAGGUCUCUCCCUCACCAAUUAAACCAAGUGAAACACUCAGUUGAUGUUAAGGUUGACAUGAGGAACAUUAUAAACUGUUGUGACUAGACAAGAAACACAGUGAGAUAUUGUAACUGUAGUCACUGUGAGAAAUAAACUAUUGCUAACUCUUAGAAGGCUUUGCCUACAUGCAGCAGUAGAUCCACUGUUGCCUGGGUGGAAAAAAUAGAUGUGUCUAUUAUAUAGCUCUGACAAAUUAUCAGCAUUUUCAGUAAGCUGUGGUAACACAUCCACAAUCCCCUGGGAAGGUGAGAUCUCUGCUGAGCAAGGGCCAAAAGGCAUGUGCAGGAACAUCCCCCUACAAAUCUGCAGCAGAAUCAUGUCACUGCUGAAGUGCAGUGUGUUGGAUGGUAUUUGGCCAAAUUGUCCAGUCUCUCUGCAGUCCCGCUUUUGUGCGUAGUAUGAAUGUGAAGUUGGGCAUUGGCACUUCCUUUGCCAAUGGGAAUCAUAGAAUAGUUUGGGUUGGAAGGGGCUUUCAAAGGUCAUCUAGUCCAACCCCCUGCCAUAAGCAGGGACAUCUUCAACUAGAUCAGGUUGCUCAGAGCCCCGUCCAGCCCGGCCUUGAAUGUCUCCAGGGAUGGGGCAUCUACCACCUCUCUGAGCAACUUCUGCCAGUGUUUUGCCAACCUCAUUGUAAAAAAUUUCUUCCUCAUAUCUAGCCUGAAUUUCCCUUCUUGAAAACCAUUACCCAUUGUCCUGCUGCAACAGACCCUGCAUGACCCCAGGCACCGGGGACCAUGCUGGAGAGUGGGAAGGAUGUGGAGCACUGGCUCCACAUCCACUGGGUUUGGACAGUGCAGAAGAACUUCAGGUCUCAAAGUCUAGGGAGAUGAGUCUCCGCAGGCUGCAAAGAUGACAGGUGAAUGAGAUAAAAGAUGUAACACAGCAGGCACAGUGUUUUCCAGCAGUAUCUGCUGUGAACCUGACAGCAGACACAAUCAAGGCUUGUUUGCACUAAUGCUCACUCCAGGUGUGUGCUCACCUUGGAGAAGUCGGGUACGUGGACAAAACCAGAAGCUACAGGAGAUAUACUGACAUGGUGGAUGAGUCCUGUGCAAAGAGAACACCUUAUUGUCAGCAUAUUUAGGCUUGGGGGGUUUCGGAGGUGUCUGCCAUCUCAGACAGGUGGCUGUCCAUGAAAAUGAACAUUAAUUUCAUGGCCAACUGGAAGGUCAAUUUUCAGCCAAGAAUUAAAUAUGAAAAAACAAAUAUAUCUAUAGAAAACAACUGAUAAUACGUUUCUGUGGUUCAUAACAGUGCUGACAAAUUUUACCACAGACAAUGAGUUUAUUGAUUUUGGCAAUGCUUCUUGACCAUACAUUUUUGGUGUUGAUUUCUUAAGGGGUCAUUGUUUAAUAUUUUGACAUUCAGUAGUUAAAAUAUCGAGAAAAGCAUGGGACUGCACUUCUUGCAACUGGAAGAACAAUAUGGGAUUGCAGUGUAUUGCUCAUACCUGCACACAUGGUUAAUAAUGCAUGCAUCUUAGCAUACAUCUCUGACAGUUUCUUGCAACUGCACCAGAAUGUGCUUCUAAAUGAAGUCAAGAAGUAAUAAUUACAAAUUAUGUUUUCGUAUAUAUAUAUGUAUAUAUAUAUGUAUGUAUCAUUGAAAGAUACUAAAUGAAAUCAUAUUUCAUUAGGCUAAAUUCUGUAAGAACAUCGAGGAAUAUAUGUCUACAUACUUUGCAAAAAUGUAUUUCUGAGACUGCUACAUCAAAACUUUUAAAAUUACUUUUAUUCUGAAAGUGCGUAAACCCAUUAACAUUAAAUGAGACUUUUCAAAACAGGAUUCAACCUUCUCAAUCCGAUUGCAACAUGCUUUAUUUGAAUACAUACACCAAAACAUGAAAUUAUGAUAGUAAUUAUUCCUGGAAGGUAUUAAAAAGUUUAUCUGUAUACAUAAAUCGAAUUAUGGCUUUGGUAAAGGUACAUUACAAGCAAAUAGAUGCAGUAGAAACCACUUCAUACUCCUAGAAUCUACUGCCAAGACCGUCUAAUCUUUUAAAAUUAGUUCAGGCUGUUGCUCUGAGAUAGCCUGCCUGUACUUGAUUACAUAUGCACAAAAAUCAGGAAAUUAAAGAAAUUGUCAAGAGUACAAAAGUGAUUUCUUGAAAAUGUUAGUAAGAGAAGGCCAGAAGUGAAGGUAGAGAAGACUACAGCCUUCUGCAGUCCCAAGAACUGGCUGUUCAAAUGCAUGAGCAACACAGAGAAACCAUAGGGGAACUCAGUGCCAAGAAGUCUAAAGGCAUUUCAACAGCACAUUUGUGAAGUGUAAUUUUGCAAAGACUUAUAAACUGACCAAAUUGGGAAGGUUUUCCUGGGAUUAGAAAAAGACAUGGCCUUGCCAUGAAAACUGCGGCUCUGCCAGACUUGAUGUUCUGCUACAAAGAGUAGUUUUCCUCAUGGAAUAAAUGUUACAAUGUUCCUUGGACAUUAAUGUUGUUAAAUAACAAUAAUAACCACAGAGAAGCAGCUCUCUAACAUGGAAAAUUUCAAUAUUUACACAGUGCAAAGCUAGCUGUGGUGAAAAUCAAGGUGUUAGAAUAGGAGGGAUGAGGCAACUGAGCAGUAAUCAGCGUCAUGUCCUCCACCCACCGCAUGGAUGUACAUGUGUGUAUGUUUUGUUGCUAUGCCAGCUACGAGUCAGCACUGGAAACUCACUGCCCAUCUACAACAAUGUGCUUCAAGUAAAUAAUGGCAAUUAAAAAAACAAAUGGAAAGGUGUAUCCAAGCAGUUUCUUGGUUAAUACUUCACUGAAAAAGCAGUCAGGGAUAGACACAGGAAAAGAAAAAGUAUUUCUUUUUUCUUACCCUCCCCAUCAUCUCCUCCUUCCUGACAAACAAUGAGCAUUGCUGCUCUGGUCCCAUGCCAGUAUCGGCGUGCUGAACUGUGAGAUACGGAACUCAUGUGAAUGUAUAGCUGUGGUCAUGACAGUGGGAGCCGAGGAGGCCUGGCAGAAACAUAGGAGCUUAUGUGUUUGCCCAAGCCGCCCGAGUCUUUCUUCUCUCUGAGGUUCAGUUCCCAGUCCAUAAAGUCAGGUCAUUUCUUUGACCCAGAUGAAUGCUGUAGGCGUAAAUGCCUUCAGGACUAGAAGAUAUAUCCAUCUUGCAGUAAUGACAAGCCACCAAAACCACUGAGAGUCUCCUGGAUUGUCAAAGCCUCCUGGCCUCUGUACAAGUGAUUGUGGCAUGUAAAUGAAUGCUGACCUUGUUACAGGACUAAAGGACUUGAUCAGAAAAGAGGGACACCAUCCCCCAACACCUCCCCACUGACCCCCCCCAUUGAAUUUAAAUAACAUGAUGGUCAGUUAGUGAAGAACAAGUUAAAUGAUCUAAUACAACUUUUAACCUUUUGUCUGUAUGAGGUUUACUUUGCUGCUGGCAGCAAAUGUAGGAUACAUUGGUAAAGAUCCUGAGCUGGGGAACAGGCUCUAUGUUUUGUCUGAUGUCUUUGGAAUCUUUCUCUCUAGAACAUCCUCCACAAACCAUGUCUAGAGUGCCAACCACAUGAAGAAGCAGGAUUCUUGGAAACCAUAUGCAGAUGAUGAAUCAAUGAGGAAAAAGAGGAGAGAAAGCAUGGACAGCCUAGGCAGGUGAUAGAGCAUGAGCAUGUGCUCUACAAAUCCAGACUGCCUUAAGCUAAAGCAAACAAAGCAAGCUGGGAAAAUUGCAACGGUUUAGAUUUUCUAAAUUCAACUUUUUCUGUUUUAUUUUGAAACAAUUUGCCCUUAAGGAAUGUCAAUUCAUUUUAAUUUGCAGAAGGCUGACAACUCAUCAUGUUACAUUUUUUUUAAAUUUUGCUGGAAAGAUUUUUUUUUUUUUGGCUGAUCCCCGAAGCAAUAUUUCCCCCUCUAAUUUACAUUAACUACCUUUCAGUAUAACUCCCUCACAAUUUCAAGGCAUGACCAAGCCCAGUAUCUGAUUGGUGUUUAGAAUAAAGUUUCUCCAAUUGACAGAUUUUCUUAUAAUUGUUCUCUUAUAAUUUUUCCUAGAUGAACUUAUCUGAUCUGAUGUGGCAUUUUGUGUGCUUUGGGAACAUAGCCUUCUCAAGUGCUCAGACAACAUGAGAUGAAAACAGUGUCUAACUUGAGCUGCACAGUACCAAAACAUAGUGCUGGAAGGAGAUGGACAAGUCAUUGAGACCCAUCCUCCUUUGCUAGCAAGCUGUAGAUGUUUAGUUCAAAACUCUUGGUAGAACAUGUACUCCAACCAGCUCAAAAAGCUUCCCAAUGCCCUCAAGACGCAGCUGUGCAACAGUUGUGUGUCAUUUGGUGGGAACAGGAGAGGGUGAGGCCAGCCCCACCAAGAAGGUUGAGUCCCUGUUGGGCAGAGGAAGAGACAUAGACUGUGAAAGGCAGCAAAGAAAAAUUUGAUUCGGACUUAACUAAAAUUUUUUGUACCAAUAAGGGCAAUUCAGUCCUUCUGCAGGCUGCUGGGGAAAGUGAGGAUCUCAUUCAGGAAGGUCUUUAAGAAUGUGUCAAAAUGGUAUGGUUGCUUCAUCCUGGGGUUGAAUGGCCUUCUGUGGUCCUCUCCAGAUUAUUUUCCCUAUAUUUUUCUAUAGAUCACAAAACAUUUGUGAGCUAUUUCUUCCUCUCCUACCAUGAUUUAUCUACAGAAAUCACUUCUGAAACAAUUUUCAACCCUUUCCUCUGAAACAACCAUUUCCUCUGAAAAAUUUCCUCUGACUGUUGUAUGAAGUACUCUCAGCCUCCAACUAGAAUAAAAAGUUAUCGGCUAGAACAUCACUUAUCUAAGAUCACAUCCACAGGCACAGGAAACCCUCAGAAAUUACAGGCACAUUGGGAAUCUCCUGAAACUAUGGCUUUCAAAGAGUUUAGCUGGACCAUGACUUUACACCCCAUCUUUCUAACCACCCCAAGACUAGUCUGGGGUCCACCUUAACCAUUUCUGGGAGCACAGCUGUCUCACUCAUGCUCAAACCAAUCCUACUGUCCACACACAGAUUCUCCAAAAGCUUGCAUUGAUUAGCAGUUCUCAUGAAGGUGGAAACUCUCUGUGAUGUGUGAUCCAGGAGUCCCUGCUUGCUAACAUGCAUAAGGUCAAUACACAGGGACCCACGAGUGCCAAUGACUCGAUGCAGAUAUCCACACAGCGGUGGAGGUCAGUGUGGGCAGGGUAUUGACAUCAGCUGCAGCCUUGGAAGCCUUGCAGGAACAUUACGGUGUUUUGCUCUUCUGUCACUGGUAAAAUGAAUCACUCCAGUGAAGUUAGACAUCUGUGUGUAUAGCUGGGAACAGGAGGGUGAGCCAGUAAGUGAGACUGGAUGUGUUAUGGCUAGCUGUCUUCUGUUCCAUUUGAUCACUUGAACAGACAGAUGACUGCUUACUUUAGGCUAUCAGGCAUAUUUGUUGUACAAAAGGAUCUAUGGAGUUUUGGUUAUGCUUUUUUUCUAAACUUGCUGGAAUUAUACUGAGUGUUCAUUAAAAUUCUGAGACUACACUUGGUGGGGAAUGAAGACAGUACUAAGUAUCAAGGUGAAGGGUAAAUGCACUGCUCUCUAUGCUGUGCUAAUAUGCUUCCUUACGUUAGAAGAUAAUACAAACUCACAGAAGAGAAAUGUGGAUAAAUAAAGUGAUAAAGAGUGGUAAAUCCAAGUACAAAAAACAUACAUAAAGAAAUAAAAUUUUAUAACUUUAUUACAGAUGUAUUUCCAAAACUGAAAUAUUUCCAGAGGACCAGUUUUCCAUUGGACAAAAAGUUUAUUCUGUGGUGCUAUAUCAACAACCUCUACACCUGUUUGGAAGAGGGAAGUUUUAUUAAAAUGCUGACAGUCAAGUAAUUUUAUUCCAUGAAUUACUAGAAAUGCAGAAAACAACUAACUGUGGGCAAGUCCUGAGAACUGAUUUGUCUCAGAGCUUGUUUAGAGACAUGAUCUGAACUAAUUUAUUUGCAGAAGAUUCAUACUGAACAUCACACUCAGUAACUAGCAAAAUACAAUUUUUAAUGAUGAUCACUAGAGGUAUAGAAAAAUAAAAUUUAAAAAAAUCAGUGAAAGGAAAGAAAAAAAAUGAUGUAACUUUGCAGACAAAUCUCUUCUGCACAGCUCUUUAACAAGAGCUUUCAACAAGGGGGAGUGUGUGUGGGUGGAACUGAUCUCACCAGCAACCCACUCUUUGAGAAAUUAGACCAAAGUAUACUGUUCCCCAGAUGGGUGGAAAGUCCCAUCUUAAUGCAUCUUAGUAGUUACAAAUAGUCAAGAGCGAUUACUUGUAGGAUCCUAGGAGUGCUCUUUGGGUUUCCUGCUAUAAACAGUAGGCAAUUAAAGUCAAGCGAACUUUAACCCUCCCCAUGAACUGAACUCAGUUGCUCAGAAGGCUACAAGACCUUUCCAGCAGACAUUGUUGUGAAGUGUCUACACUGAUUGCAUAACCUGGAGGAGCUGUGCAAACACAGGUUCAAGAAAUCUGAAACUUUGCGCCAGGACACUUACUUCAAAAAAUGCCAAAGCAGGCAAAUCUUUUAGGGCCAAAAAAGGAUGAAAACCAAGGUCUUUUAUGGCCUUGCUUAAUGCUUAGAUUCUGAAAGACCAAAUACUUCUCUUCUGGAUUUUCAGAAGGAAAACUUCCAUGUUUUUCUCCAGCAGAGGUAAAUUGGAAAUGAGAAACUUCCUGCAACGAAAACUUAGUUUUCAAUUCGCUCUAUGACAAAAUAUAAAAUGUAAAAUAUAAAAAGCAGACUGAGGCUUAUAUCUCCUCUCUGAACAUUCCCCUAACAUCCAUGCCUCCUGAAGGCCCUUGGAGGUCUUGCUGCCCACCAGAGCCUGACAUGCAACCUCAAAGUCACAAACAUUGUGGGACCAAAAGUCAGCACUGCAGUGGUCGGCACUGCACUGUCCAAGGCACCUUCUGCACCCAAAUCAAGGUAGAUUGUAACACAUCUCCUUCAACUUAGAACCAUAGAGUAAUUUGGGUUGGAAGGGAUGUUCAAAGGUCAUCUAGUCCAACCCCCUGCCAUGAGCAGGGACAUCUUCAACUAGAUCAGGUUGCUCAGAGCCCCAUCCAGCCUGGCCUUGAAUGUCUCCAGGAAUGGGACAUUUACGACCUCUCUGGGUAACCUGGGCCAGUGUUUCACCACCUUCAUUGUAAAAAGUUUCUUCUUCAUGUCUAGCCUGAAUCUACCCUCCUUUAGUUUAAAACCAUUAUACCUUGUCCUAUUGCAACAGGCCCUGCUAAAGAGUCUGUUCCCAUCUUUCUUAUAGGCCCCUUUUAAGCUCUGAAAGGCGGCAAUAAGGUCUCCCUGGAGUCUUCUCCAGGCUGAACAACCCCAACUCUCUCAGCCUGUCCUCACAGCAGAGCUGUUCCAGCCCUCUGAUCAUUUCUGUGGCUCCUCUGGCCCCUCUCCAGCAGGUCCAUGUCUUUCCUGUGCUGAGGGCUCCAGAACUGGAUGCAGGACUCCAGGUGGGGUCUCACCAGAGUGGAGCAGACGGGCAGAAUCACCUCCCUCAACAGGCAGGGGGGCUGAUGGACCCCAUGAACACAAGCUACACCCACAUGUAGGCAGCAGGAAAGCUGGGCACAGGUGGCUUUCCUGCAAAGCUGCCUAGUGAGACUGUUGAUGACCAAAGCAUGCUCUCUGUAAUUGCUAUAGGCUUUGGUUUCCUCAACUUGGGAAAUACAGGAAAGUUGAGGGGGAGGGAGCUAUUUCACAGCCAUGCCUGCAAAGAACGUGAUUCAUUUAUUUGUUCUUCUGUGAACACCCUAGCUGGAUGACUAAGUUAGAUCCGCAGACUGAUGACCCAGAAACAGUAGAGAUAAGUUUUGUAUGUAGGGGAAAGAAAAAAUAAGUUAAAAGCCAUACAUAGAUUGUUAUUUUCCCAAAUUCAGUGGUUUACCUCACAGGCUGAGUCCUAGCCAAAACUAAGAAUAUAGCACAGAUACUUCCCCCUCUCAGGGUGGGGUAACUGAGAUUUGCUGCACCUGUGACUUCUUAAAUUAGCAGCACAUAAAUUCAUUAUAGCAUCUAGGAUUCUCAGAUAUCAGAGUAGCCUGUUUCUUUUCAUGGUUCUUGUUCAAGCAGUUGAGGUGGGAGCUGCUGGUUUUACUGCACCUUUUUCUUCCCUUGGGUGCUGAGUUGCUCUGUUAGACUUUGGGGAGUGCUACUGAUGCGUUGAAAAGCCCUGUGGAAGACCAGCAGCUCCUGUGGAGGAUCAGGAAUUAUCAGGAGUGGGCCAGAGAUGCUCUGUUUGAAAAGGAUGUGCUGCUGCAGUGGGUGGUUGCAUGAACCAAGCUGUUGUGUAUUCAGAGUCAUAUCUGCCUGCCUGAAUGACAGAAAUGAAGCAUUUGCUCCUUUCUACUUCAUUUAAACCUGCAGGAGCAUGUAGCGCUCAUCCUCCUCAUGCACCAAGGUAUCCAUGCGUGCCGCUUGCCAGUUGGGGACUUCUUCAGCAAGUAACGUCUGAGCAAAUCUCUUAAUAACAGGAGGACUACACACAGAUUAUUGUGACCAUAAUUUGGCCAACAUAGCCUUUAUUACUAACGGUGAUGCUGGAGACGGGAAACCCAGCUUGAUUCUCAGGUCCCUGCUGGAGAGUAAUAAAACAAAAAGGAUCAAAAUCUGUGAGUGUAUUUGCUACCAAACCUUUGAAAAACACAAAAGUGGAACCCUGCCAAUGUUAUUGCUGGCAAUUUUUCAGAGCAGAGCCUCACUGCGAGGUAGGAUUAGAAGUGGAAGUGCAUUUUGUGCCUCUGACAUUAGUAUCAUGUUGUUGUGAACAAAUGGAGGGUUUGCAGUCAUUUGACAUUUGUUGGUUUCUGUUGUAACUAUUGUGUGCUGCUCUUACACCUUCAGAGUAUUUUUAACACCUUCUGAUAAUAGAAUAAUUAGAAAAUAACUUCAGCUAUCACUAAAAAAUAUGUCUAUUUUGCUAAUGCAAAGAACUGACAAAAGAACUGCUUCUAGUGGAAGUGCUCUUAUAAAAAUGGAGCAGUGUUGUCGUUUUUCUUUGUUGAGAGCAUUGGCGAAAAGCGGUGCUUUUUCUCUUUUGUUCAUCCCUGAGCAAUGGCAGAACUUGCAGCUAAAUUCUGAUAGUGGAAAUUUUUCUGGUGGUAACUGAGAUUGAUAUAGUAUCAUGUACAAUCAAAAAAAAGAAAGAAUCCCUAACCCAUAGCUUGGAUUUUGAAAAUCAGGAUGAGCCUUCAGUAUUAAGAAAUGAGCAUGCAAUACUAAGAAUACAAAAAACGAAACAAACAAAAAACCAACUUUUUUUAAACAUAAAGAGACGCACUUGACAAAAUCAGUAGCAAAUAAAAGAGGACUGUAAAUGUAAUUUUAAAUUAUUUCUCUCCCUCUCUUUUUCUCAUGUUAAUAUAUCCUUGGCUCCUAGUUCACAACCGUGCACUCAUUAUAAAUAUAAGAAAACCUAACUUUUUACAAUGUUAAUUAAACUGUAUGCCACAUAGACAUUUGGGGAGAAUUUCCCAUGCUUUCCAGUGUGAAUGGAAGGAAAGGGCAGUGGUGCUCACUUUAAACAGGAUUUUUUUCUAGUACCUUGCAAAAAGGGUUCAUUGUAUUUUGAUUAAUCCAUGCUUUGUCCACCUCGGGUGUUUCCAUGGAAACCGAUUUUUUUUCCUUGAUGGCAACUGUUAGGCUCAGGAAGGCUCCUCACUGCACAAAACUGCUCCAGCUCCUAAAGAACUACUUGUUGGAAAUUUAAUGUGUAUAAACAGAACUCCCAAAUUCCUCCUUCGUCUUAUUGUCGUUGAUGCUAAUAGAGAACUGUUUUCUUAACGAUGCAUAGUGGUGUCUUUUCGCUCCACAGGAAAAGAAAAUAAAAGUAGUAUUCUUUCCUCUGCAAGAGAGUACUUCUGCUAACCUUCCAAAAUUAAAUUAUAAGAGCUCGGAUGUGUGAGUAUUAUUUAGUUCUGUAUCCAAAUAAUUUGGCUUAAUGGCUGUUCAAAUUUAAUUAAUCUUGUUUUGCAGAUUGGCAAUCAUUUGAAUGAAUUAUUCUGUGUGCCACAAUUGGGGUUAUGGAGUGUGUUUGGUGGUGUGUUUUUUGGGGGGGGCUGUUUGUUUUUGUUCCCCCCAGGAAAAAAAUACUCUGUUAGUGCAUGCUACUGUGAUAUUUUGAAUAAGUUUUGAAAAUCAACCAACAGAGGGAGCAUUUGUGUGGCAUUAUUAAUUUAACCAAGUAGUUGGAAACAUGACCGUAAUUACUUCCAGUAUUUUUAGAUAGCAUAUUUGUUGUGUAAAAAAUAUUAGAAUCCUUGACCAUUCAUGAAAAUAGAAAAUGUUUUGGUUUGGAUUGUUUUAGUUUUCAAAAAAUCCAAUCUUAACUUUUGCUGACAGUGCAAGUAACUAUUUUAAAUUGAUUGUCAGGUUUAUUGUUCAGAAAACUAGGAGUUUUAGACCACAGAGUAUUUAUAAUUUUGGUUUAAAAGUAAUUAUUGGUUAAAAAUCCAUUGAAGCAAACAGUUCAAACCCUUCUAAUUUAUAUUUACUUUCUAUUACAGUGACAUUUAGGAGUGCCACACAGACUUUAAAAUCCUGACAUAUAAGAGUCCAUAAAAAUAGAGAAUGUAAAUAUUUUUAUUAAAAUAAUGCCCUGACACUAGUGGUCAGGGCAGCGAGACAAAAAAAAAACCUAUUGAUUCAUUCAUCAUUUUUUUUCUUUCAUCUUUGUUCAUUGUGGCAGGGAGUCUGCCAAAUGGAAAAAGGAAAAUCACUUUGAGAGCAAAACACAGUUUUCAAACUUUUUCCAAGGGCAUACUGAAAAUAGAAAUUAUAUAUCAAGCUAGAGAAAAAAGCAGAAGCCUCAGUAUUUCUUGGUACCUCUUUUAUGUGUUCCUAUUAAAAUCUUAAUAAUAAUAAUACUUUUUUACACCUUGUGCUAUUCCCUAAUCUUCCUCUUUAGCUUUUCAGGCACUGUUACCUUCAGUGACUGAAACUGCACACUAUAAUAUUACUCUGUUGUCAGCACAAGGUGUGAAGGGACUGCUGCUCCUCACAAUGUCUCAGAAGACUGGAUUCCGAUCCCUGAUCGAAUGACACGGGAGGCUGUGUAACACUUUAGAACAGGACAGAAAAGUUAAAUAACUGGGGACACCGUGGCCUGGCUGCAACUACUGGAGUGAAACAUCAGGGCUGAACAUCCUCUUGGCUGGGAAAUGUGACAGUGCCCAAAGUGGUCACAUAGUCAGGAUCUGGUGGUGAUAUACCACAAGCUUGACUUCGGAGAACUGUGCUGCCCAAAACCUGGGCUUUCUUUGAAAACAAUAUUUCUUCUUUAUAGGUGGGGCUGCUUUGAUGAGUGCUUAUUUUGAACCUCAUGAGAAUCAUGUGGUAGACACUUGGAGUUAAUAAGAUCUUCUAGUUAGUAAGAUUAUUUUUUUUUCUUGAUAUUGCUUUCCCUGCUGAUUAAAUUGGGAUGUAAUUAUUUGUUUUGUCAUUUAUCUUACCCCCCCAGAAUGAGCAACUCCAGGAACCUGUGGUGUAUCAGAGUCUUGGAGAUGGGAAGACACAGAAUGACAUUAAUGGCACUAACACCAUCUCAAACUCAAGCGGGAAGUGGUGCAGCCUGCAGCACUGCCAUGUGUGGCAGAGGGAGAGCCCUAUUUAUAUGCCAGCAGACUAUUCUGGGUGUGCUAACACUGGGAGUGAGCAGCUGUGAGAAAAACAGAGAAUAAGUGAUAGUACACUCUGAGAUGGAAAUCAUAGCAAAGCACCAUAUGUGUUGACUAAGUAGUUCCGCCAGCACUCUCGUUUCAGUGCUCUGAAACUUCCAACACAAGGGAUUUUCACAAAAUUGCUGUGCCACACAGCAAUCUCCAGAAAUCUCUGGAAAUGCAGACCUUCUGACACACACACAGCACAUGGGACAAUGCUGGUCAGCAAAACUCAGCCCCACACGCUGCGGGAAGACUAGACAAGACCUGAAAUAUUUGCCUUCCUCAUUGCAGACCUCAUUAACAAAUGUACAUAUAAUCCCCUAGGAAUGCAGUUUCCUAAUUGUGAGGUUCUUACGUGAGCACCAUGCAGAUGGACUCCUGCUUGCAGGACUCAGGCAUUACAAUGUUUACCUUCACCUCUUAAAGUUUUAAAACAAAUAUGAGAACAGGAUUUGUAUCCCUUUGACAAGGCUGCUAUUCCACAUGAUUUGGUUAUUUAUUUUUCUACUGUGACAUUAGUUAUUACAAAUAAUUUCCUUUCAGUUUUCUUCUUGGGCUCUUUAAAGAUUUGAGAAGCUCCUGUGAGCCUGUAUCUGUGUAAUGGAGCAACUCCUGCUUGUAACAAGCAGUUCGAGAAAUGUUUGUUCAUUAAAGCUCCUGGAGAUGUUUGUUUGAGUUCUGAGAAGUGUUUGUAUGCUUGCUUGCUUUGUCCUGCUUGAUGUAUUUACCUAACAAGGAGAUGUUUGUUUGGGUUCUUACUUGCUUUGUCCUGCUUGAUGUAUUUACCUAACAAGGAGAUGUUUGUUUGAGUUCUUAGUUGCUUUGUUCUGUUUGAUGUAUUUACCUCAUAAGUAACCAAAGCGGCGAUCGAAAGUGGCUACACAGCAGUCAACCUCACAUGAUGCAAGGCACACCGUGAGAGCCUUCAACAUGAGUGAAAAGUUACACCCAGAAGCUGUGGACCAGAGAUGGACUAUAAGAACCAGAGAACUGCAUUAGCUGUGUGCGCGUGCCGCAAGGGAGACUGAGGUCUCUAGGCCGCACCCAGAGCUGUCUUUGCUUAUUGCUUGAUUAGAAAUAAAACUUUUGUUACUUACAA